GAUGAAGAACGCAGCGAAAUGCGAUACGUAAUGUGAAUUGCAGAAUUCAGUGAAUCAUCGAAUCUUUGAACGCAUAUUGCGCUCUCUGGUAUUCCGGAGAGCAUGCUUGUUUGAGUAUCAGUAAACACCUCAACUUCCAUAUCUUUUUUGAAAUGGGAGUUGGACUUGAGCGAUCCCAACGCUUUUCCUCACCGAAAAGUGGCGGGUUACUUGAAAUGCAGGUGCAGCUGGACUUUUCUCUGAGCUAUAAGCAUAUCUAUUUAGUCUGCCUAAAAAACAGAUUAUUACCUUUGCUGCAGCUAACAUAAAGGAGAUUAGUUCUUGUGCUGACUGAUGCAGGAUUCACAAAGACAGCUUCGGCCGACUUUGUAAACUCGAUCUCAAAUCAAGUAAGACUACCCGCUGAACUUAAGCAUAUCAAUAAGCGGAGGA
rnacentral:misc_RNA from 1 species